rnacentral:rRNA from 1 species
UACGGGGGGAGCAAGCGUUGUUCGGAUUUACUGGGCGUAAAGGGCGCGUAGGCGGCCAGCACAAGUCAGUUGUGAAAUCUCCGAGCUUAACUCGGAACGGUCAACUGAUACUGUGCGGCUAGAGUGCGGAAGGGGCAACUGGAAUUCUUGGUGUAGCGGUGAAAUGCGUAGAUAUCAAGAGGAACACCUGCGGCGAAGGCGGGUUGCUGGGCCGACACUGACGCUGAGGUGCGAAAGCUAGGGGAGCAAACAGG